rnacentral:rRNA from 1 species
AUUGAACGCUGGCGGCAUGCCUUACACAUGCAAGUCGAACGGCAGCACGGGAGCAAUCCUGGUGGCGAGUGGCGAACGGGUGAGUAAGGUAUCGGAACGUGCCCAGUCGUGGGGGAUAACGUAGCGAGAGUUACGCUAAUACCGCAUACGAUCUAUGGAUGAAAGCGGGGGAUCGCAAGACCUCGCGCGAUUGGAGCGGCCGAUAUCAGAUUAGGUAGUUGGUGGGGUAAAGGCUCACCAAGCCGACGAUCUGUAGCUGGUCUGAGAGGACGACCAGCCACACUGGGACUGAGACACGGCCCAGACUCCUACGGGAGGCAGCAGUGGGGAAUUUUGGACAAUGGGCGCAAGCCUGAUCCAGCCAUGCCGCGUGCAGGAUGAAGGCCUUCGGGUUGUAAACUGCUUUUGUACGGAACGAAAAGGUUUGGCUUAAUACGUUGAACUCAUGACGGUACCGUAAGAAUAAGCACCGGCUAACUACGUGCCAGCAGCCGCCGCAG